AGUGAACGCUGGCGGUAGGCCUAACACAUGCAAGUCGAACGGCAGCACAGUAAGAGCUUGCUCUUACGGGUGGCGAGUGGCGGACGGGUGAGGAAUACAUCGGAAUCUACUUUUUCGUGGGGGAUAACGUAGGGAAACUUACGCUAAUACCGCAUACGACCUACGGGUGAAAGCAGGGGAUCUUCGGGCCUUGCGCGAUUGAACGAGCCGAUGUCGGAUUAGCUAGUUGGCGGGGUAAAGGCCCACCAAGGCGACGAUCCGUAGCUGGUCUGAGAGGAUGAUCAGCCACACUGGAACUGAGACACGGUCCAGACUCCUACGGGAGGCAGCAGUGGGGAAUAUUGGACAAUGGGCGCAAGCCUGAUCCAGCCAUACCGCGUGGGUGAAGAAGGCCUUCGGGUUGUAAAGCCCUUUUGUUGGGAAAGAAAAGCAGCAGGUUAAUACCCCGCUGUUCUGACGGUACCCAAAGAAUAAGCACCGGCUAACUUCGUG
rnacentral:rRNA from 1 species